GAAACUCUAAUCUGUUUUCUAUAGAAGCUUAGCUCUUAGGACAUUGGAUUAAAAUUAUCAACAACUCACAAUUGUUCCAAUCAAUUCACUUGGAUCAAUAUCCUUUCAUUUCACUCUCCACCAAUCAAAGUAAAAUAAUAAAAAGUAUAAAAAAAACAAAAAAACAUGGUAACGUGUAACUGGAUGACCAAUCCCUCACUACUUGAACUUCAU
rnacentral:lncRNA from 1 species